CCUACGGGCGGCUGCAGUGGGGAAUAUUGGACAAUGGGGGGAACCCUGAUCCAGCCAUGCCGCGUGUGUGAAGAAGGUCCUCGGGUUGUAAAGCACUUUCAGUGAGGAAGAACGCCUGGUGGUUAAUACCCAUCAGGAAAGACAUCACUCACAGAAGAAGCACCGGCUAACCCCGUGCCAGCAGCCGCGGUAAUACGGAGGGUGCGAGCGUUAAUCGGAAUUACUGGGCGUAAAGCGCGCGUAGGUGGCUUGAUAAGCCGGUUGUGAAAGCCCCGGGCUCAACCUGGGAACGGCAUCCGGAACUGUCAAGCUAGAGUGCAGGAGAGGAAGGUAGAAUUCCCGGUGUAGCGGUGAAAGGCGUAGAGAUCGGGAGGAAUACCAGUGGCGAAGGCGGCCUUCUGGACUGACACUGACACUGAGGUGCGAAAGCGUGGGUAGCAAACAGGAUUAGAUCCCCGGGUAGUC
rnacentral:rRNA from 1 species